GCUAAGUCACAGCCUGAAGCAGUGAUUGAACACCUGGUGGAAGGCAGGGCCAGCAGGGGAGCUCAGGUGCAUGCAAUGUACCUGAGUGAUAGGAAGGGAUGGAGCCAGGAUCUACCCCUUCCCAGACCUUAGUUAAGGGUUGGCAGUGGAUGCAAGGGUAUUUUCUUGAAAAUCCCUGUGUACCUGAGGCCUUUUUGAAGCCAUUCCCCAUUGUCCUAUCACUAUCAGAUCGUGGAAGAAGUUGGUCCCCUUCCUGCUUGUAAGCUCUCUUCAAGUACUGGAAAAGCUGCAAUGAGGUCUCCAAAAAGCCUUCUCUUCUUUAAGCUACAUAAGCUCAACUCCCUCAACCUUUCUUCAUAGGAGUGGUUCUGAAGUUCUUACAGCACUUUGCACUGGAAUGAACUCACUUGAAUAUAAGAUGAUAUUUUACUGUUUGUCAUGGAUUUUAUAUAGGGGAAUGGACAUCUGGCUACUUAUCAGUUCAAACUGAUUUAAAUGAAUCAAAGUCCAAAUGAGAUUAUAAUGUACCACACUGCAUUGUUCUACCAACUGCAGAGGAUCAGAAAGUUGAACAAACUCAGUGACCAGUAUUUUCCCUUCAAAACUGCAGAAGAGAGAAAACUGGGCAAGCUUUUGUCCUGUCAAUUAACAACAUGGUUUUCUUUAGAGGAUUUAGAAAUUUGAGUAAUCUUCAACUUGUGGUGUGGAGUGUCAAAGAAUGUGAGAAUUCGUUGUAGUUGGCUUGCAAUACCAGCGCACACUUGCUCAGUGGGAUGUGAACCAGAGUGUCUCUUUCUCCAAAAAGUCUGCUGUAAAGAAAAGUGUCAAAUAAGCAAUCCUUGGUAUGCUUCUUCAGUAAAGAGAAGAAACACAGGAGAUAAUGUGCUCCCACAGCACUUCUUUAAGGAGCGCAUCAAAGUUUAAAUCACGGGGCUUCAUCCCCUUGAGGACCCUUGCAAUUGUCUCUCAUAGCAUGAAUGGCUCCCUAGAGAAAUCAGAUGUCAUUUAUGAGAGAAUAAUCUCCAGUUCACAUCAUUGCCGUAGAAGUUCUUUUGUUUCUGGAUGUAAGGGGGGAUGAUGUGGUAAAGCAAGUUAGACAAAUGAUUUGGUCUCCAUAGCUCCAUUUACCUCCCGUUCAGAAAAGCCAGAUAUCCCUCCUGAAGCAUUGGUGCGAUGGCUGCUGAGAAUGAAGACAGGCAUCUCAUCAAGCAUGCGUUGCUAACACAGUAUACUUGUUCCUGGAUAAGCUAGCUGUGCUUUGCGUAAGCCACAUGCAGCACAUGGUACUUGUCUGGCUGUGGACAAUGGGGACCUCAGCUAACGUGUGCUGCCCUGACCCAUGGUGCAGCCACUUGGUUUCCCUGAUUUUCCAGCGUGUCUUCUUCUGGGUUGUUGAUCAACUUUUCUGGAAACCGUGUUGAAUCUGCUCACCAGUUCAGACAAUGCACCCUUUUAUUUCCCCUGAUUCAGACAGCAACAGGAAGGCAGGAAAGCAGGUUGCCACAUGGGGCUUGGAAGAACUGGCUGUCUUGCUAGGGUGCGGCUGGAUAUCAGACCUCAGGUUGCUCUCUAAGACAAAACAGUGUUACCUGCUCAUCACACAUUGCAUGGUUGACCUCUUACCACAAGUGAGGACAGCUCUUGCCAGAAAUGGAACCAGAAGAAUCUCAGUACAAAGUAAGAAAUCUGUCUAGAGUGUAGCAAAUGACUCACUGCUCUUAAGAUGCUUUGGCUCUCAGCUCUGAGGAGGCUGAGCUCUUCUGCAGAGAAGUGAUAAGUAAAUGUUGGCCAUUAUUGAUAGCCAGUCAUGGUGGGGUCAUCAUGGAUCCAUUCUGUUCAGAUAAGUUAUGCUGCUUUGUUGUCACAUUCUGACCUACUGGUGAGCACAAAGUAGCAGCUGUGACCCUAUCAAUUAAUGGAGGUAGAGCUGCUGGGGGGAUCAGAUAGAAGGAUUAAGAAACCCCGUGGAGAAAGCCAGCAAUUAUCCAUGAGUGUCACAAAGACAGAGGUGAUCAGAGGAAUUGCUUCUGUGGAGGGAACAAAACACAAGCUGCAGCCAAGAGCAGAGAGUGGAAGCAGAAUUAAAAGGACCUGCAGCAAGUCCGUGUCCUGCAGGCUGUGCUGUUUGAAUAUCCAUUAAAAAGGAGACCUGGAUAUACGGUUUAAAAAAAAAAAAAAAAAGAAAGAGCAAAUGUGUGAGCAGCUCACAUUAAUCACACAGUAGAAGCUAGUGAUGCUGUGAGGCACUGUUGACUCUCUGUUUCCUGAGAGGCAUUCCCACCACAGGUAGGAUUAGCAGGCAGGAUUAGCAGGAUGCCAAUGCAAGAACACAUUUCAUCACCAUAUGCUGUUGCUGGGAACUAGAGAGCCUGAAACAUUCUGGUCAACUCUCCUUUUAGCAAAUCUUGUCACUUGUCACUCAAAUUUUUUGGUUGCUUACAGCGUUUUGGUCGCACCAGACUAUAUCCUCAGCUAUCAUCAGUGUGGUUAAGUACCAUUUGGCCGAUGAAAAUAUUGAGCUUACACAUAUAUAGGAAUAUUUCAAGGGCCAAUGUUCACAGGUACGAGGGAGAUAUAGGGCCUUUAAAAGGAAUACAUAUAAAACUCAAAAUAAAAGCCUUUUGGCAGAUUCAUGUCAGAGGUAGUUGCUCUUCGAAGAGUAGCAAUAGAAGAUAUACGAAGAGGUUACAUUCCAAAUGUGAGAAGUAUUCACCUACCUUUGUUUGAUCUGCUACUUUCUCCUCUGUCCUUCAAGUUCUUUUCCACACCACUGCUCACCUCAGGUUUCUUUACAGUAGUCACACAAAUUGCUUUGCGUUCUACAUUUUUUCCUUAUGAGUGUUAUUCUGUAACUGCAUUCUUUUCUCAAUUUGGAUCUCCAGUGCAACUGAUCAUUUAUCUACUUUUUUUCACUCCCCUUCCUCCCCUUUUUCUAUCUAAGAGCCUUUCUCUGUCUAGUUCUUAAAAGGCUUGGCCUUCUGGCAGUGCUGAUGCUUCAGUUCCUUCUGGCUAUGUUUUGAGGAGCUGUGACUCUCCUCCAAAGAAUUCAGCUGUCCAUGGUCCAAAAUCUAGUUUUGAUACUGCACAGCUGCAGAAUUUUGGCAGAAUUGUAAGAAAGAUGUUUAAUUGUGAAAAAGUACAAAGAUGUGAGCCAUGCAAGAUAAGAAAGAGAAAACUGGAGGAAGAGGCAAGAUUAGCACAGCCAUUCUUUUUUUAGCCUAACCUAUUCCUUUUCUUCUGUAGUGUCAGCUCACCCAGACCCUCCUCCCCCUGCAGUUUCUGUGUGAAAAAGAAUUGGAGCAGAUCUCAUUAGUAAUAGACUGGAGAAAUGUUUGCUGGUUUAGGUGUGGAAAAAAGUGAGCUGAGAAAGAAAGUUAGAAAAAAAAGGACCAGUACUCUUGAAGUAAGAGCUAACAGUGAUUUCUGUCCAAAAAUAUUUCUCAUCAGCAAUGUGCAUAGAAGAGUAAGGUUGUGUUUUGAACACAGGUAUGAAGAUCAGUGCCGUUGACCAACCUCUGCUCUCACUUCCCUAAAACUUACACAAGAAGCUUGUGAUAGAAUAGUAAAUCAUGAUUCCAUGAGGUAAACAGAGGAGUGAUUUUUACUCUAGUCUUGAUGACUACGGGAAGAACUGACAGGAGAAAAAAACACUGAAUUUGUCGAACAGAGGCUUAGUGUCUCUCCUGCAUCUUGCACCAAAUCACAAUUUACCGCUAUUUGAUUUAACUGGAUUGAGAUGGGCGUAGGGAUGUUUCAGUUAAUUUAGGUUUUGUUUGUUUGUUUUAGUAACAACGGAAAAGUCUAACCUGCUGAGGUCUGGAAUUUUUUUCCUCCUCGGAGUAUAAUGCUACACCAUGUUGUUGAUGUUAUCUGAAGGUUCUUCAUCUGUUUCUUUGACUUCUGUUUCUUGACAGAGAUGCAGUUAUGAAGUUAAUGGAGUAGUCAAGUGCUACACCGUUGAAAGUACCCAAAAACCUGCAAACAAAUGCUGUCUGCCUAAGCAAUCUGCGUUAUGUGAACAGCUGUGGUUCCUGUGGAAUUUAUGCUAAAUUCUUCUUUUAUCUUUUAUUCUAGUUAUAAAAGUGAAUGAUUGCAGUCCAUCCUGGAAUGCUGAUGAUACACCCUUCUGACUGAUGGAACAGGCAAGGGAGAACUGGCUCUGCUCCAUCUCCAAAUUUUUGAUUUCUCGUUGCUCUACUCAUUUUUAAUUGUUUUUUUUUUUUUUUUUUUCUUGCGUCUAAAUUUUGGGUAGAAGUAGAACUGUUGCUGAAGUAUAUCAGCCUCAAAGGUCUUGCUGCCAAAUUAUACCUUUGCCAAGGAAAUAUUUAUUUUAUGUUUUUUGGCAGGGGGGAGAUGGAGAGUGGAGAGUUGUUUGUUUUUUUUUUAGCAUUUGGGAGUAAGAGAAGAAAAACAUGUGGAAGACUCAGGAAAAGCUCAAAACAACUAAGAGAACUACUACACCAAUGUUAUCCUGUCUAGUUGCAUUUCUUGAACUUAAUUGUAGCAAAAUGUAUUUUGCAGCCUAACAUGAUGUCUUCUGUACACCUGCCUUCUGCUGAGCUGAGCUCUCAGAUGAAGAGUUCGAAAUUAGAGUUGCCAGAAGAAGCAACCGGUAAAGGGGCACUUAAUUUCAUCAAUGAAAAUUGUUCACUAUAUUAGGGAAUUUUUAUUUUUUUUUUAAUUAAAACGUUUUUUAAAUCAUAAUGUGUAGAUGCACACAAAAGUAGGCAGUCCCAGCAGUUGUAGGCAUGCAACCUGACCAGUUUAGAACUUAAUUCAAAAUUUUCAUUAACAUUUAUUUAUAAACAUGUGAUUUUAAAUAUAUAUAUAUAUAAAAUUUAGAAGAUAUAUGAACCCUGCAAUAGUCCUUAAAGUUGCCCCUUGUAAGACGCUAUGUCUCACUAUGAAAAUAUCCUUUUGUUCUUCUUUUUUAACACCUUAUUUCAUAUGCUUCUCUCUCCUUUGCAGUUCUGAGCAUUGAGGAAAAGCCUAUCUCCCUGAAGUCACCUAGCACUGAUUUCACACUCUGGCUAUCCUGUAUUCGCUGUAAUGGGGGAAAAAAAUAAUUUUUUCAAGGUUUUUUUUUUUUGGUAAGUUAUUCGUAGAAGAAGUGAAGCAUUAUCUCCUUUUCAGGGGAUGUGCCCUUUUGUGUUUCUAUUUCCACGAGAACCACGGGAAAGAAGCUCUUGUAAUAGCUGCUCUUGCUUAUGCUUGUAGGAAUGGGAAGGAGGACCCCAGCUGGUAGCGUAAGCCCUGACACCUGCGUGCCAUCCUCCUUUGAGAUACUCAGCAAGUCUUUCCUUUUCUAUGUGCUGUACUUCUCCCUCUAAACUGCAGCUAGUAACUUCGAUCUUUCAUAAUUCCUGUACCGGUUUGCUCUGUCAGGCCUGAAAGGCAGCCAUGUGCGAUUCAACCAAACCAGUGGCAGUUUUGGUGCUUGUAUACUUUCUUGCUUUUGCUGCUCCCUACUCAUAUUAAGAGAGUGCACUCUGAAAUAUAUCAGGAAGCCAGCUCAGAAAGCAUACUGUUUGUUUUUUUGUUUUGUUUUGUUUUGUUUUGUUUUUUCUUUUUCAGGGUUUGAAUAGCACAGUGAGCACCACUAGGUUCACAAAUUUCUGCAAAGAAUAGACACCAUACAAAAUACUGAACUUUUGUCAGCACAGCUAGGCUCCUUGUUUAACAUCUGAAGGCAGGUUUCAUCUUAAAUAUUUUCUAUUAGGGAAGUGGUUUUACCUUACACUUUUUUAUGUUAUUGAAGUGCUAGAUUUUUAGUAAUACCUAUUUUGUUGAUGAAGGUAAGUGUGCCCCAGUGCCUUCUAUACCAGAUGGAACAGGGAUUACAGAAACUCAUGUUGCAUUACUGCAAGAGAAACUCGGAAAUGAAAACCAGAUCGUGACAGAGAAGAGAUUACAGAACUGAAAUUGCACAGUGAAUGGAAGAACAGGAUUUUGAGUAGCUCUUUAUUUUUAUCUCUUCUGGAAAAAAAAGUGACUUUAGCUAUUAACUAUGCUAAUGUGGUUGAAGUGUGCUUUUAUAUUGCUGUAGAUUUAUCUAAAAGAAGAAAAAGACAUGGAGCUUUCCUCCCUGAUCAGUACAUACUUUCUAUCAACUAUCCUGUAGAUACUGUGUGAGAUUUAUGCUGCUUAUGCAUGAGUCUGUGCAUAUAAAUGUAAUUUCUUUUUCCAUAUGGGAGCCUUUAUGUGUAGAGUGCAGCAAUAAGACAAUGUGUAAUGAUUUUAAACUGCAAGAGAUUAGGCUUAGAUUAGAUGUUUCGAAGAAAUUCCUGACUGUGAGAGCAGUAAGGCACUGGAACAGGAACACAGAACAGAGAAGAUAUGACAUCCCCAUCCCUGGAAGCAUUCGAGGUCAGACUGGAUGCAGCUUUGAGCAGCCUGACAUAGUGCAAGGUGCCCCUGCCCAUGGCUGUUGGAGCUAGAUAAUUUAAAUCAUUCUGUGAUUCUAAAAUAUUUCUCUCUUUUUCCCUUUUUCCAAUUGAGUAGUAUUGAAUCUCACGAAGAUGAAAUCACAGAAGAUCUUGUUGAAAGAAAGAUGAGAUAUCCUGAGUUUGCUUUCAUUUAAUUUAAGCACUUGGUGUGAAAACCUGCCAAAUUCAUCGGUCAAAUUGUCACCCACAGAUUCUAGUGAUGGCUUACUUUGAGAGCAGAGAUGAAAUCCAAAUUUUUUCUCACUUCAGGGCAAAAUCAUUAUGAUGCAUCUAAUUCAGUUACAGCACACUAUUAAUUUCAUUUUCCGAGGUAAAAAUCAACAAUGUUGUCUGUAUUUGCCACUAAGUCUUGAAGAUAUUCAAGACUGAAGACUCUAAGCAAUAUCUUAAUUGAAUGUAUCAUUUAACUGCCAUUUUACUCUGGUUCCACCUUUAUUUGAGGAUAUUUUUAUGUGAAGACCAACUUAAAACGCAGAAAUAUUGUAUCCAAGAUGGAUGAGGAGGUUGUUACAUAUUUGUGGGUUUUGCUUCACAACACAUCUUGAGAAGUUCUGAAAUUUAUUGCUUAUCUCAUACCGUUAAUUUUAACGGGAAUCUGGAUUUUAGUUCCCAUUGUUAAGUUUGAGAAUUGGCUGUGACGAAAGGGCUUGCAAAGCUAGAGUUGAUGUAUGGUCAGUGAAAUACUAUUUGUCAAGGCGUAGCUCAGGAAGGUCACUUUCGAUGCUCUUUCAUUACCAUACCCUGCAACGUGCUGCAUUUAGGACACAGCGGGCCAUUACUCACAAGCAUGCUGCACAGAGCAAGGCCAAUGUUUCACUGCAUCUCCAGGGUGGUUGUAGUUGUGUUAGCUGGCGUACUGGAUUCCCUGGAGCAGAUGCUUAACAGCGCAGAGCAUUUUCUGCUAAGUGUUCUGGGCUGGGAUGUCCAAGCAGUAGCACAGCAGUUGUCAAAUGUGUAUUCCUUCUGGGUAUUCAUAGCUGUACCUUUGUCUCUUCAAGGACAGAACUAUUAUUGCUAUUACAUUCAUGUACAUCCUUCCUUCCCUUGGUACGCAGAAAUUGAAGACCUAUAAGGACUUCCUUACUGCACGUAUCUCUUUUUGAAACAAUGUUUGAAUUAGGAAAGCAAUACAAGGACUGGAUUUCUUUUUUAAAAGUCAUUAUCUAGAGCCCUUAUCAGCACUGAUACGGGACUCUGAUGCAUUAACCUUCAAGGAUGAAAUUCUCCAAGCCUGCUUUUUACACAAAACAAUUUUGUUUUAAAACAUUUGAAGUGUGAAAACACUUCUGUUGUUUCUUUUUAUAGAAACAAGUCACCUUUGACCAGAAAUGGAAAAUUUCAGUAUGGAAGAUAAUGGUUCAGCAACAACAACAAAAAAAUCUGUCACUGCCAUGACAUUGACAGCAAAAUUUGUAACUUUUAUGUGGGUUUUUUUUGGAUCUUUUUUUAAAUUAAGUUGUUGGAGAAAAAUUUUGAUUGAAUUGGUCCAGAUUGAAUCUAGUCAUAAAGCAAAAUGCAUUUUUUUCUGUGGAGAGUUCUGCUAUGAUAAAAUGUUUCUCAAUCAAAAUGAGCUAAAAGUGAAAAUAUUACAGCUUUGUCAAAAAGCUGGAAAUAUUUUACUUCACAAAUUGGUACUUUGCGUUGGUGCUGAUAUUGCUCUCCCGGAAGUUAGGGACUUCAGUGGCUGUGAAGACCAUAAAAUGUGACUGAAGAUCCUUUGUCCUCACCUGAAGAACAAAAGAUUGGGACUGGAUUUUGGCACUGUUGUUCUUUUCUUCCUUUUUGCAGGAAGUGAUAAAGCUGGCAGGAAAAUUGGUGUCUGAGUUCUGGUAACCCGUUUCUACUGGCAGAACGAGGAGAUAGACACAGUACAACCUUGUGGGAUGAUGGGAAGAAGGUUGGAAGAAAGAAAUGAAAAUUGUGCUGGGGCCCCUGUUCCAGCAGCGACCACUACCUUAUUUACCUCCAGUUUCUCUCUCUGACUGGCAGCAGGCAGUGGCUUCCAUGGAUUUGGCACAGGCAGAAUAGGAAGAAAAGGAAAAUGCAUAAUUAAAUUUUGCAAUUGGCUAAUGUCAUGUGCCCUCUGUUAGUGGGAUAGAAAAGAGUCAAGUUUGUACUUCUUUACAUUUUUUCUGUUUAGGUGGUCAGAUGUGUCCUAGACAAGCACUAACACGUUGUUUUCUUAUUUAUACCUUCUGUGCAAACAAUGAGAUGCAUAUUCUAAUCUGUGGCUCAGUCUAAACCAUGCAAUUUCUUCAGAAGUUUUCCAAGCCCUGAGCUUCUAACAUUCGUUCUUUAAUACAAGAAGGUGGCCAGGCCAUGCUAAUUCUUUCAUUUUUCUUUGCAAUUAAGAUGUUUCUGGUGUCAUAUGAAGUAUGUCUGACUUCUCAGAGAUGUCAGAAUCACAGUAGGAUGACUUUGAUUGUUUACACUCUAGCUUAUAACAGUCAGAAGAUGAAUUCCCAAAUCCAUCUGUGGCUAUUUAAAACCUCUGGAAGAAUAACCCGUAGAAAACAUGGAUUGCUGAAUUAGUCAGUUUUGCUCAUUGUUAUAUAAUUCUUUUCUCAUGUCAUAUUCAUCAAAACAUGUUUCUUAACAUGUCCUUGCACCAUUCAGAAAUGAACAUGAUUGCAAAUUAUCUCUUUGUUUUUGACAACAUACCUUCCUCUUGUUUCAACAGCAAAACUAGAGGUGGUUUUGGAUUAUUUAUUUAUUCUGUGAAAUGACGUUGAACCUCUUCACAUUGCCUGUUUGCUGUCCACAGUGCAAGACAGAUGAGCUUGAUACAGAUACAUCUCAAAGUUGGAGUGUACGAUGCCUCUUGAUCAACUUCUGAGCCAGCCUUUCUGCCUGGAUCUUUACAGUCUAUCUCUGUCCAGGGAAUACAACAACAAAAUUUUGCCAUGAGAGAGCCUACAAGCUGGGAAGGUACCUCGCACAGAAGCAGCUGCCCUGAGGAGCACUCAUGAGAAUGCCUGCCCUGGGCAUGGUAGGACUGCAAGAUCUGAGAUAAGGCUUCAACACCGUUGCUAACUGGAGAAAUACUCUUUCCAACAGCUGCUCAAUCCAGAUUUCAGCAUCCAUUCCAGCUACUGAUAAUUUUAUCCUCAGUAUAGCUUUAAUUAACUGUAUUGUACACCAUAGUAGAUCUACCUUGUUAAACUGCUGCUCUUUGUUUCAGUGGAAAUGCUAUAAGAGACAGAUAAAAUAAUUUUGUUACGUGGUUACGAGGCUGUCAGUUUGUUAAAUUUGCCAGCUGCUGUGGGAGCCUAUGGGAUGGAAGGUAUCAUAUAAAUACAAAAAAGUGUUAUUAUUUACCUGAAUGACUCUAUUCUCUCCCCCUAUCCACCCUAACCCCCUUUUUUUAAAUAUACUUAUUUUUUAUAUUUCUUUCCUGCAUUUUGUUCUCUAUUCGGAUGGUUUCUUCAAGUCCCCAGGUGGAACUACAAUCAUAAGUUCUCUAAACUCAGGUAUCAACAGCCCUCACAUUUUUCUGACCUUUGUUAGGCAGUUAUUUACCUGACCUGCUUUGCUUGUUAUUCAAUCUUUCUGUCUUCUGCAACUAAUUCCAAGGCAAUUUGAACUUCAAAUGCUUUUCACUCAAGCUGAGUUUAAGCAUGUACAUUUGGAUCACUGGGCUUAGGGAGUCCAGUUUGUCUUCUUGCACUCAACAGAUACACUGUUUUUCUCCAUGUCCGAGGAUUAAUUACAUACAGCUGAAAUAGAAAUUCCUGAAGAAAGACUAAUCUUGAUGUGGAUGCAUGGAAGAGAGAUAUGAGGCAGCAGUCCAGUAAACCUCCAGCUUGAGGCUUAGUUGUAUUUAAAUGCCAUAAUUCCUGGAGCCAACUCAAACUAUCAAUCAGAAUCCUGUCAGUCUAAACAAGUCUGAAGCUUGAAAAUUUUGCUUUCUUUGGCAUUUAAUUUUCCCUUGGAAUCCAAAUCUCAGCUUUAGUUAGGUUUUCUCAUGCAAAGAGGGUUACAUUCAUGUCCAGCUUUGAGAUGUAUUGUGGUAGGUUCUGAUCUCUGAGAAGUUUGAGCUCCAGCUUGUAGACAUAAGAAUGAGAAGAGCCAGCCAUUCUCAGAAGGGUCACUAGAACCAUUUCACAUGUCUCUCAUCAGUUUACAAAGCAUCACUUCCUUAUUUCUUUAAGUAAGGACAAAGGAAAUCCAGCUUUGGAUGUUAGAGGGCUUAUCAUUUCUUUUUAAAAGAUAUUGAAAAAAUAUUAGUGGUAAAAUAUACCAUUGUUAAGUAACUAUGGAUCUAAGAUUCCUAAACUUCAAAGACACUGUAUAGUACUUAUGAAACUAUGUAGUUUUUCAUCUGAAAGCCAGUGCUUUGGGCAAAGGUUGCAAGAUUAGCAAAAAAAAAAAAAAUCGUAAUUGAUCAAAUAUCCAUAAUAGAACAUAACAAUGUAAUUGUAAAGGCAAAAAAGUUUAUCAAAUGGGUCACAUCAACAAGGUAAUAGAGAUAUCUAAUGGACAAAGAAGGAACAAAAACAGAUGCACAGCUGUUAAGGUCUCUAAAAUAUGUUCCAUGUGGUUGAUUUGAGUGCGGAGUAUACAAAGCAGUGUCUAUAGAUCUAUAGUUUGCUUUCAAACUGGUUCAUGACCAGUAGAUAACAGAGAGUAAGUCAAUAAGUGAACUUGAAAAAUUAAGCAUCAAGAUACCAAGAGCAAGAACAAGACAGCAGCUAAUAAUGAUCUCUUGUUUUUACUGGGUAUCUUUAAAGGAGGGAGUGGAACUCACCAAGCCAAAUAGUUAAAUGGAAAUAUGGUACUUCAACAAGUAAUGGGAACAAAAGAUGAAAUCAGUAAUCAAUAUAUAGCGCUAAUGUCCAGAAAUUUACAUAAGACAAUCAAACCAUAUUUUUGUCUUUUAUGUUACAAUGUAUAAUUCUAUAUUAUAUAGGCACUUUUGUGUGUGUGUGUGUCCCUCCAAUGAAGUUCAUUCUUUCUGUUUUGACACAAUGUUCAUUUCAUUGUAACAUAUUGAUCACGCCUUCAGGAUAAUAAAUGCCUAAGUAAAAUUUAUUUUGAAAUCUCAGCUUCCAAUUUAGGAAGUUCUUCUGCAAUCUUUAACAUUUCUAGAUUGUCUGUAGGUAUACAUUGUCACACUUGAAGAUUUUAUGUCUGUAGAUGAAUUUCCAUCAUCUUCAAAGCAAUUAGUAAAAGAACAAAUGGUGGUUGUUACUGAACUACA